rnacentral:rRNA from 1 species
AGUGAACGCUGGCGGUAGGCCUAACACAUGCAAGUCGAACGGCAGCACAGUAAGAGCUUGCUCUUACGGGUGGCGAGUGGCGGACGGGUGAGGAAUACAUCGGAAUCUACUUUUUCGUGGGGGAUAACGUAGGGAAACUUACGCUAAUACCGCAUACGACCUACGGGUGAAAGCAGGGGAUCUUCGGACCUUGCGCGAUUGAAUGAGCCGAUGUCGGAUUAGCUAGUUGGCGGGGUAAAGGCCCACCAAGGCGACGAUCCGUAGCUGGUCUGAGAGGAUGAUCAGCCACACUUGAACUGAGACACGGUCCAGACUCCUACGGGAGGCAGCAGUGGGGAAUAUUGGACAAUGGGCGCAAGCCUGAGCCAGCCAUACCGCGUGGGUGAAGAAGGCCUUCGGGUUGUAAAGCCCUUUUGUUGGGAAAGAAAAGCAGCAGGUUAAGACCCCGCUGUUCGGACGGUACCCAAAGAAGAAGCACCGGCUAACUUCGU